rnacentral:lncRNA from 1 species
AGUCCUCUUCUUCCUUUCUUAGGGGUCGUUCGAAUCCCUGCCGGCCUCUCCCCUCCCGCUCCCUGCCUCUCGCCACAGCCUCGGCCUUCGCCCUCGGGAUUGAAGACCUACCCCACGGGCAGGAGCCAAUUGCUGAUGGGGAGAGGAAAAAAUAGCCACUAUUCAGGUUCCCUGUGAGUUAACUGCUGCUGUACAAAGGCAGGUGUAAUAUUUUCUCUGUAUUAAAGGUCUUCUCUGUUGGUUGAAAUGUCUAUGAUUUUAUCUGCCUCAGUCAUUCGUGUCAGAGAUGGACUGCCACUUUCUGCUUCUACUGAUUAUGAACAAAGCACAGGAAUGCAGGAGUGCAGAAAGUAUUUUAAAAUGCUUUCGAGGAAACUUGCUCAACUUCCUGAUAGAUGUACACUGAAAACUGGACAUUAUAACAUUAAUUUUAUUAGCUCUCUGGGAGUGAGCUACAUGAUGUUGUGCACUGAAAAUUACCCAAAUGUUCUCGCCUUCUCUUUCCUGGAUGAGCUUCAGAAGGAGUUCAUUACUACUUAUAACAUGAUGAAGACAAAUACUGCUGUCAGACC